CACUGAAAAAACUUGAAGGUUGAAGAAGUUGAUUGUAUCUUGGCAUGCAUCCUACUGUGUUAAGAAGAUACUUCAGCAGGCUAAAUAUAAGACACUGAUACUAUUUGAAUGGCAUGUUUGAGAUAUACAAGUUGAUGGAAA